rnacentral:rRNA from 1 species
UACAGAGGUCUCAAGCGUUGUUCGGAUUCAUUGGGCGUAAAGGGUGCGUAGGCGGCGCGGUAAGUCGGGUGUGAAAUCUCGGAGCUUAACUCCGAAACUGCAUUCGAUACUGCCGUACUUGAGGACUGGAGAGGAGACUGGAAUUUACGGUGUAACGGUGAAAUGCGUAGAUAUCGUAAGGAAGACCAGUGGGCGAAGGCGGGUCUCUGGACAGUUCCUGACGCUGAGGGCACGAAGGUCAAGGGGAGCAAACGGGG